GAUCCUGGCUCAGAAUCAACGCUGGCGGCGUGCCUCAGACAUGCAAGUCGUACGCGAAAGGGGCCUUCGGGCCCCGAGUAGAGUGGCGCACGGGUGAGUAACACGUGGGUAAUCUGCCUUUGGGUGGGGAAUAACAGUCGGAAACGGCUGCUAAUACCGCAUAACGCAGCGGCACCUUCGGGUGACAGUUGUUAAAGCGGGGGACCGGCUUCGGCCGACCUCGCGCCUAAAGAGGAGCCCGCGGCGGAUUAGCUAGUUGGCGGGGUAACGGCCCACCAAGGCACCGAUCCGUAGCCGGCCUGAGAGGGCGGUCGGCCACACUGACACUGACACACGGGUCAGACUCCUACGGGAGGCAGCAGUCGGGAAUUUUGGGCAAUGGGCGCAAGCCUGACCCAGCAACGCCGCGUGAAGGACGAAGCAUCUCGGUGUGUAAACUUCAUAAGAGUGGGAAGAAUAAGGAGGGGUUAACACCCCCUUUGAUGACGGUACCACUUGUAAGCCCCGGCUAACUCCGUGCCAGCAGCCGCGGUAAUACGGGGGGGGCAAGCGUUGUUCGGAUUUACUGGGCGUAAAGGGCGCGUAGGCGGCCCGCCAAGUCACUUGUGAAAUCUCCGGGCUUAACCCGGAGCGGCCAAGUGAUACUGACGGGCUGGAGUGCGGAAGGGGCCACCGGAAUUCUCGGUGUAG
rnacentral:rRNA from 1 species